AUUAGAAAUUAUGGUCAAAGUAGUAGCUACAGAGAUUAGAAAUCUAUUCCAAUGGUCUUAGCUCUAACGUCAACAAAGGUUUAAUCAUCCCCUAAACUUCAAGUUUCAACUUAGUCCGAAUCAGGAGAAAGACUAUGAGGGAAGUUAUUUGGACAAAUGGUUUAAUGCUCUACUAAAGGGGAAUCGAUCAGAUUCUAAUUGUAACAUUUUGGGUACCUGGAGGUUGAAGAUCCUUCGAAGAACGAAGUGAGCCGCCUCGCGAACAUUCUGUUCAGGUGAUGUUGACCCGACUCGCUGAUUCGACCCGGAGCUGGUUUUGAAACGGUCAAGGAUAUAAGUGGCGCUGGAUUGAUGAGGAAAUCGCUAUCAAUUGAGAUAGACUGCGAAUAGUACGAGAACACCAUCAUUUUGGAUGCUUUGACGCAGAUUCAUUCAUGGCUUCUAGGUCUUUUAUUACUUCAUUAGUUGUUGACUUAAAGAAAUAUAUCUAAGUAACGUUUAAUGAUGUGGGGGAUAUUAAGCAGCCAGGUUUUACACUCAGCUAUAGUCAUCUUUUCGUAUAAGCAUCUAAUUCGACAAAUGUAUAGUAUAGUCAUCUUUUCGUAUAAGCAUAUAUAGUAUAGUCAUCGUAUAAGCAUAUAUACCGUUUUCAAUUUAAUGGUCACACGAUCCUUUCUGAAAAAAAAAAGAAAAUUAUCAUUAAACAAGCUUCUGAUCAACAAAAUAAUAUCCCAAAAAGGUGGAUUAAAUUUUUGUUUUCUUCAUAGACAUAAGGAAAUUAACUUUAUAGUCUGACCAUUGAUUAACUUUCAGCAAUGUGCACAACUGCCAUUUUGAUAACACCAUAGUUUAAGAUGCCAAAAAAACAAAGGAAGAUGGAGCGAGAAAGAUGAAUUACGCUAUAGGAAUUGAUUUUCCUCUUAAGUGCUCAAGUCUCACUUUAAAUUCAACUAUCACGGAUGAGCCAAAUGCCCAGCCCUAAACAAAAAGAUUAACUUAGUAAUUGAUACCUUGUAGAAAGACAAACCGUGAGAUCAGUGAAAGUGGUAAGUUGCCUGGAUAUCACGAAAGUGUCAAGACUCUUCUCUUCACCAUCUUUAAUCAUAUCUUCCAUCAUAUGAAUCUUCAGCAUCUUGAAUUGACGAUCGAAGACAGGCUUGUAGAGAUGACUCAAACGUGUACCACAAUGGCCUCAUAAUAUAGAUGCAAGAUUAUUAUGAUUGAAUGACGAUUCUUCGGAUGCAUAUGUAGGAAUAAACACUGCGUCAUACGAGUUCUCAUAACCAUCAAUUCACUUUCGAAUAGAAAUGGUAAAUUUUCAUUACAAACUGAUCCAAGCACUUCAAGACCUAAUGAGAACAAAGUAAAUCAACACAAAGACAGUGUCCGGACUUUUGAUAGGAUUUAUUUUUUAAAAGGUAUUUCGCAUAUAAACUUCUUAACAUAGAUCUCUACAUAUAUAGACAAAAUGAAAUAAAUACAAAGAUGUGCUUCAUAAGUUCUCAACAAAGCCCAAGUAAUCUCCACAAUAAGGCUUAUUUAUAAGUCCUCUAAUCUGAGUGACUUCAAUGAUUCUUCCAGCCCAAAACAAGGCUUCUCUCCUCCAGAAAAAUAAUUAGGAUUAUUAUAUUAUUAUUUGUUUUGUUUCCUCGAAUAAAAAAGAGAAUCCGAGAACUUUUUAAGACAAAAGCCAAGUCUUCGAAACCUUAUGAGAUGUGAUAGAGUUACAAGGGUAAAACAGGAACUCAGAAUAAAAAUAAGUUAAUCGAGAAAGCUCCAAAUAAACACCACUCGUCCGCCUCUCUGUCUCUCACCAAAAU
rnacentral:sRNA from 1 species